CCUACGGGGCGCUGCAGUGGGGAAUAUUGCGCAAUGGGCGAAAGCCUGACGCAGCGACGCCGCGUGAGGGAUGAAGGUCUUCGGAUCGUAAACCUCUGUCAGCAGGGAAGAACGGUCACUGUGCUAAUCAGCAGUGAAUUGACGGUACCUGCAAAGGAAGCACCGGCUAACUCCGUGCCAGCAGCCGCGGUAAUACGGAGGGUGCGAGCGUUAAUCGGAAUUACUGGGCGUAAAGCGCUCGUAGGCGGUAUGUCAAGUCAAGGGUGAAAUCCCCGCGCUCAACGUGGGAACUGCCUUUGAAACUGGCAAACUGGGGUGUGUGAGAGGAUAGUGGAAUUCCAGGUGUAGGAGUGAAAUCCGUAGAUAUCUGGAGGAACAUCAGUGGCGAAGGCGACUAUCUGGCACAUAACUGACGCUGAGGAGCGAAAGCGUGGGUAGCAAACAGGAUUAGAUACCCUUGUAGUC
rnacentral:rRNA from 1 species